AAGUAGAGUAAGAUCUAUCGUUUCAAUUACUGAAUUAAUAUAUAUAUAUGAUAAUAUGAAUACAUACUGGCUAUAACAGUACAGCAGUAUACGGUACUGGUAUAAGGUUGAUUGGACUAGCUUACAUCAGUACAUCCGCAGAUCCAUGUUACGCCUGUCGAUACUUAACACAGCCAGAGCUUGAUUCGUAUUUCCAAAUCUGAAUUUUUUUGUCAGUAGACUGGCAAAUGUUAAAAUGCCGAAACGGCAAUACAAUAUCUGAAUAUGCCCAUUUUACAGCUCUAGACUAUGAAAUGUUAGCAUCUAAUUACUGAAUCAAGAUAAACCUGUAAACCGUCAAAAUUAUCAACAGCUUUAUGAUGAUCGCAAACUCAGACUACUGGCAGGCUGGACUACAAGAAACACAUGAACAGGCAGACAGGGGAGGGGGUGACGUUGCUCUACACCCAGAAACCGUGACUUGAAGAAUGUGGCAUUAAAAGAAACAGAAACUGAAGAAUCUGAUUAUGCAGGCAUGAACAAAUUGUCUGCCCCAACUCUGAACUAUGAAAAUGUCAAUGUCUAAGGCUUCAUAAUAUUUGAGAUUCUUACUAACAUGUUAUUUCAAGGAAGAAGAAUUUGAGGUAGCCUACCUCUUCCAUCUCAUCUACAAAGUUUGGUAAUACUGGAAAAGUCUGUAUCGAUUGAUUGCCCACAGAUUUUUGUCCUUGAACUCCAAGAGGAAAAGAAAAUAUGAAAAUUUAUAGAAAGAUAACUUGAAGUUAUGGAGAAGAAAAUACCAUGAGUUCCUCAAAGCAAAUGGAUAAUGCAAUACAAUCAGCAUGGGCAACACUAACCCGGAAAGACUCCCCCUCUGCCAUAGACUAUUCUCUCUUAGAGGCUGUCUAUAGAGACUUGUUUAAAGUGACUAUGUGAACGGAUACCCUGCGAGCAUAAACUUCUUCAACCAGAAGUUUCUGUU